GACGAACGCUGGCGGCGUGCUUAACACAUACAAGUCGAACGGAAAGGCCUGCUUUCCCUUGUGGAUUGCGGGUACUCGAGUGGCGAACGGGUGAGUAACACGUGAGUGAUCUGCCCCCAACUUGGGUAUAAGCCUGGGAAACUGGGUCUAAUUCCCGAUAGGACUGCAGGGUGGUGCCUGUGGUGGAAAACGAUUUUCUAGUGGUUGGGGAUGAGCUCGCGGCCUAUCAGCUUGUUGGUGGGGUAAUGGCCUACCAAGGCGGCGACGGGUAGCCGGCCUGAGAGGGUGGACGGCCACAUUGGGACUGAGAUACGGCCCAGACUCCUACGGGAGGCAGCAGUGGGGAAUAUUGCACAAUGGGCGGAAGCCUGAUGCAGCGACGCCGCGUGGGGGAUGACGGCCUUCGGGUUGUAAACUCCUUUCGACCGCGAGGAAGCCACCUGGUUGGAAGGGUGGUGACGGUAGUGGUAGAAGAAGCACCGGCUAACUACGUG
rnacentral:rRNA from 1 species